GGCGACGUGGCCGAGAGGCGAGGCGCGGGACUGCAAAUCCCCUCUACAGCGGUUCAAAUCCGCUCGUCGCCU
rfam:Hydrogenobaculum sp. Y04AAS1, complete genome.